rnacentral:rRNA from 1 species
UACGUAGGGGGGCAAGCGUUGUCCGGAUUUAUUGGGCGUAAAGAGCGUGUAGGCGGCCAGAUAGGUCUGUUGUGAAAACUCGAGGCUCAACCUCGAGACGCCGAUGGAGCCAUUGGCUAGAGUCCGGAAGAGGAGAGUGGAAUUCCUGGUGUAGCGGUGAAAUGGCGCAGAUAUCAGGAAGAACACCCGUGGCUAAGGCGGCUCUCUAGUACGGUACUGACGCUGAGACGCGAAAGCGUGGGGAGCGAACAGG